AAGUGUUUAUUAGCAGUGUGUGAUUAAGAAGUGUCGUGUGAUAAACAAUGGAGAAUAUAUCGUACUCCCCUUGCAAUAGUCAAGAAAACAAUACAUAUAAGCAAUAUUACUUUCCUGCGAAUUUGGUAGAAGAAGAAACACAAAAUUUGCUCAUAGAUCAUGAAAUGCCAUCAAAGAAAAUGAAAAGGAAAUCUGAAAAUAUAGACAUUUUUUUCGAGUCAUCCCCAAAAAAUAAAAACAAAACUAGUUCAACAGUAGCUCGAGCUAACAAAGAUGGCAGUAUAUCAUAUAUAUCUACGAACUCCAACGAUGGUGCGACAGCCACACAUCUCAUUAAAUUAGAGGUGUAUGAC